rnacentral:rRNA from 1 species
AUUGAACGCUGGCGGCAGGCUUAACACAUGCAAGCCGAGCGGAGAUGAGGUGAUUGCAGCUUAUCUUAGCGGCGGACGGGCGAGUCAUGCUUAGGAAUCGGCCUAUUAGUGGGGGACAACAUUCCGAAAGGAAUGGGAAUACCCCAUCCGUCGUACGGGAGAACGCAGGGGAUCUUCGGACCUUGCGCUUAUAGAUGAGCUCUAGUCGGAUUAGCUAGUUGGUGGGGUAAAGGCCUACAAAGGCGACGAUCUGUAGCGGGUGUGAGAGGAUGAUCCGCCACACUGGGACUGAGACACGGCCCAGACUCCUACGGGAGGCAGCAGUGGGGAAUAUUGGACAAUGGGGGGAACCCUGAUCCAGCCAUGCCGCGUGUGUGAAGAAGGCCUUAUGGUUGUAAAGCACUUUAAGCGAGGAGGAGGCUACUGAGACUAAUACUCUUGGAUAGUGGACGUUACUCGCAGAAUAAGCACCGGCUAACUCUGUGCCAGCAGCCGCCGUAA